GUGUCAGCCGCCGCGGUAAUACGUAGGGUGCGAGCGUUAAUCGGAAUUACUGGGCGUAAAGCGUGCGCAGGCGGUUCGUUGUGUCUGAUGUGAAAGCCCCGGGCUCAACCUGGGAACUGCAUUGGAAACUGGCGGACUUGAGUGUGGCAGAGGGGGGUGGAAUUCCGCGUGUAGCAGUGAAAUGCGUAGAGAUGCGGAGGAACACCGAUGGCGAAGGCAGCCCCCUGGGCCAACACUGACGCUCAGGCACGAAAGCGUGGGGAGCAAACAGGAUUAGAAACCCCCGUAGUCC
rnacentral:rRNA from 1 species